rnacentral:rRNA from 1 species
AUUGAACGCUGGCGGCAGGCCUAACACAUGCAAGUCGAGCGGAUGAAGGGAGCUUGCUCCUGGAUUCAGCGGCGGACGGGUGAGUAAUGCCUAGGAAUCUGCCUGGUAGUGGGGAUAACGUCCGGAAACGGGCGCUAAUACCGCAUACGUCCUGAGGGAGAAAGUGGGGGAUCUUCGGACCUCACGCUAUCAGAUGAGCCUAGGUCGGAUUAGCUAGUUGGUGGGGUAAAGGCCUACCAAGGCGACGAUCCGUAACUGGUCUGAGAGGAUGAUCAGUCACACUGGAACUGAGACACGGUCCAGACUCCUACGGGAGGCAGCAGUGGGGAAUAUUGGACAAUGGGCGAAAGCCUGAUCCAGCCAUGCCGCGUGUGUGAAGAAGGUCUUCGGAUUGUAAAGCACUUUAAGUUGGGAGGAAGGGCAGUAAGUUAAUACGUUGCUGUUUUGACGUUACCAACAGAAUAAGCACCGGCUAACUUCGUG